rnacentral:rRNA from 1 species
UACGUAGGGUGCAAGCGUUGUCCGGAAUUAUUGGGCGUAAAGAGCUCGUAGGCGGUUUGUCGCGUCUGCUGUGAAAAACCCGAGGCUCAACCUCGGGCCUGCAGUGGGUACGGGGCAGACUAGAGUGCGGUAGGGGGAGAUUGGAAUUCCUGGUGUAGCGGUGGAAUGCGCAGAUAUCAGGAGGAACACCAAUGGCGAAGGCAGAUCUCUGGGCCGUAACUGACGCUGAGGAGCGACAGCGUGGGGGAGCAAACAGG